AUUGAACGCUGGCGGCAUGCCUUACACAUGCAAGUCGAACGGCAGCACGGGUGCUUGCACCUGGUGGCGAGUGGCGAACGGGUGAGUAAUACAUCGGAACGUACCUUAUCGUGGGGGAUAACGCAGCGAAAGCUGUGCUAAUACCGCAUACGCCCUGAGGGGGAAAGCGGGGGAUCGAAAGACCUCGCGCGAUUAGAGCGGCCGAUGCCUGGUUAGCUUGUUGGUGGGGUAAAAGCCCACGAAGGCGACGAUCAGUAGCUGGUCUGAUAGGACGAUCAGCCACACUGGGACUGAGACACGGCCCAGACUCCUACGGGAGGCAGCAGUGGGGAAUUUUGGACAAUGGGGGCAACCCUGAUCCAGCAAUGCCGCGUGAGUGAAGAAGGCCUUCGGGUUGUAAAGCUCUUUUGUCAGGGAAGAAACACCGGCUCUAACACAGUCCGGGAAUGACGGUACCUGAAGAAUAAGCACCGGCUAACUACGUGCCAGCCGCCGCAGUAA
rnacentral:rRNA from 1 species